rnacentral:rRNA from 1 species
GUGGGGAAUAUUGGACAAUGGGCGAAAGCCUGAUCCAGCCAUGCCGCGUGUGUGAAGAAGGUCUUCGGAUUGUAAAGCACUUUAAGUUGGGAGGAAGGGCAUUAACCUAAUACGUUAGUGUUUUGACGUUACCGACAGAAUAAGCACCGGCUAACUUCGUGCCAGCAGCCGCGGUAAUACGAAGGGUGCAAGCGUUAAUCGGAAUUACUGGGCGUAAAGCGCGCGUAGGUGGUUUUGUAAGUUGGAGGUGAAAUCCCCGGGCUCAACCUGGGAACUGCCUCCAAAACUGCAUGACUAGAGUAUGGUAGAGGGUAGUGGAAUUUCCUGUGUAGCGGUGAAAUGCGUAGAUAUAGGAAGGAACACCAGUGGCGAAGGCGACUACCUGGACUGAUACUGACACUGAGGUGCGAAAGCGUGGGGAGCAAACAGGAUUAGAUACCCGUGUAGUCC